rnacentral:rRNA from 1 species
UACGGGGGGAGCAAGCGUUGUUCGGAUUUACUGGGCGUAAAGGGCGCGUAGGCGGCCACCGCAAGUCGAUUGUGAAAUCUCCGGGCUUAACCCGGAAAGGUCAACCGAUACUGUGGGGCUAGAGUGCGGAAGGGGCAACUGGAAUUCUUGGUGUAGCGGUGAAAUGCGUAGAUAUCAAGAGGAACACCUGCGGCGAAGGCGGCUCUCUGGGACGGUACUGACGCUGAGACGCGAAAGCGUGGGGAGCGA